UACGUAGGGUGCGAGCGUUAAUCGGAAUUACUGGGCGUAAAGCGUGCGCAGGCGGUUAUAUAAGACAGAGGUGAAAUCCCCGGGCUCAACCUGGGAACUGCCUUUGUGACUGCAUAGCUAGAGUACGGCAGAGGGGGAUGGAAUUCCGCGUGUAGCAGUGAAAUUCGUAGAUAUUCGGAGGAACACCGGUGGCGAAGGCGGCUUCCUGGCAUGUAACUGACACUCAUGUUCGAAAGCGUGGGUAGCAAACAGGAUUAGAAACCCUAGUAGU
rnacentral:rRNA from 1 species